AGCGUGGUCUUGGGAGGCGGGGCGGGGGGACCGGCUGGGCAGAGCACGACGCUGAGGUGGUGGCGGCGGCCUUAAACAAGUGAGCGAGCGACUCUUUUAGUACCCCUCCACGGGGGACGGGAGAUCGGGGAGGCAGGGGGCACCGGCGACCUCCGAAGGCCCCGAGGAGGUGUCGGAGUGGGGCGCCAUUCGGUGAGUGUUGACCGAGAAAAGCGAAGUGCCCCGCCCCUCCCUUUCUUCCUGGACCGCGCCUGGCGGCGCCUCCCCCACCUCCCACCCUGCGUUCCACCCCGGACCUGAGCUCUGGGUUCCAAGUCCGGGUGUGGGACGACGACUGCGUGCCAGCCGCUCUCUUUCGCUCCCUCCCUGGCCCCCGUCGGCUUGGGGAACUUGGUAACUCCCUGGUACUGCUCCCCAGCCUCAUAGAGGGGAAACUGAGGCCUGGGAGGGCGGCGGGCCCCUCCUCACCAGCGUCUCCGCACAGAAGCCAUGGCCGAACCCCUGAAGGAGGAAGAAGGCGAGGACGGCUCUGGGGAGCCGCCCGGGCCGGUGAAGGCGGAACCCACCAACACCGCUGCCUGUGUAGCGGCCAAGAACCUGGCCCUGCUGAAAGCGCGCUCCUUCGAUGUGACCUUUGACGUGGGGGACGAGUACGAGAUCAUUGAGACCAUAGGCAACGGGGCCUAUGGGGUGGUGUCCUCAGCGCGCCGACGUCUCACCGGCCAGCAGGUGGCCAUUAAGAAGAUCCCUAAUGCUUUUGACGUGGUUACCAAUGCCAAGCGGACCCUCAGGGAGCUGAAGAUCCUCAAACACUUCAAGCACGACAACAUCAUCGCCAUCAAGGACAUCUUGAGGCCCACGGUGCCCUACGGGGAGUUCAAAUCUGUCUACGUGGUCCUGGACCUGAUGGAGAGCGACCUGCACCAGAUCAUCCAUUCUUCCCAGCCACUCACUCUGGAGCACGUGCGCUACUUCCUGUACCAGCUGCUUCGGGGCCUCAAGUACAUGCACUCGGCUCAGGUCAUCCACCGCGACCUCAAGCCCUCCAACCUGUUGGUGAAUGAGAAUUGUGAGCUCAAGAUCGGUGACUUCGGCAUGGCCCGCGGCCUGUGCACCUCGCCGGCUGAGCACCAGUACUUUAUGACUGAGUAUGUGGCCACGCGCUGGUACCGUGCUCCUGAGCUCAUGCUCUCACUGCACGAGUACACGCAGGCCAUCGACCUGUGGUCUGUGGGCUGCAUCUUUGGUGAGAUGCUGGCCCGGCGCCAGCUCUUCCCAGGCAAAAAUUAUGUGCACCAACUGCAGCUGAUCAUGAUGGUGCUGGGUACUCCAUCGCCGGCCGUGAUUCAGGCCGUCGGGGCUGAGAGGGUGCGGGCCUAUAUCCAGAGCCUGCCGCCACGUCAGCCCGUGCCCUGGGAGACAGUGUACCCAGGCGCUGACCGCCAGGCCCUCUCACUGUUGGGGCGCAUGCUGCGUUUUGAGCCCAGCGCCCGCAUCUCCGCAGCUGCUGCCCUUCGCCACCCCUUCCUGGCCAAGUACCACGAUCCUGAUGAUGAGCCCGACUGUGCCCCGCCUUUUGAUUUCGCCUUUGACCGUGAAGCCCUCACCCGGGAGCGCAUUAAAGAGGCCAUCGUGGCUGAAAUUGAGGACUUCCACGCGCGACGCGAGGGCAUCCGCCAGCAGAUCCGCUUCCAGCCUUCCCUGCAGCCUGUGGCCAGUGAGCCUGGCUGCCCCGACGUUGAGAUGCCCAGCCCCUGGGCUCCCAGCGGGGACUGUGCCAUGGAGUCCCCUCUGCCAGCCCCGCCGCCGUGUCCUGGCCCUGCACCUGACACUAUCGAUCUGACCCUGCAGCCACCCCUGCCCGCCAGUGAGCCAGCCCCUCCGAAGAAAGAGGGCGCCAUCUCAGACAACACCAAGGCGGCCCUCAAAGCUGCCCUGCUCAAGUCCUUGCGGAGCCGACUCCGAGAUGGCCCCAGUGCUCCUCUGGAAGCUCCUGAGCCUCGGAAGCCGGUGACAGCCCAGGAGCGCCAGCGGGAGCGGGAGGAGAAGCGGCGGAGGCGGCAGGAGCGAGCCAAGGAGCGGGAGAAGCGGCGGCAGGAGCGGGAGCGCAAGGAGCGGGGGGCCGGGGCCUCUGGGGGCCCCUCCACUGAUCCCCUGGCUGGGCUGGUGCUCAGUGACAACGAUCGCAGCCUGUUGGAGCGCUGGACUCGCAUGGCCCGGCCCCCAGCCCCCACACCGGCCCAGCCCACCAGUCCUCCGGCUGGCCCCCCACCGCCACCUGUAGGCUCCACCUCUGGCCCCCCGCCACAGCCUGCUUGCCCACCCCCUGGCCCUGCUCCCCACCCUGCCAGCCCUCCGGGGCCCGUCCCUGGCCCUGCUCCACUCCAGAAUGCCGCCUCUAGCCUCCUGGCUCCCCAGUCGCUUGUGCCGCCCGCCGGGCUGCCUGGCCCCGGCUCCGUAGGUGUUCUGCCUUACUUCCCAUCUGGCCCGCCCCCUCCAGACCCCGGAGGGGCCCCUCAGCCCUCCACCUCAGAAUCGCCCGAUGUCAACCUGGUGACCCAGCAGUUGUCCAAGUCACAGGUGGAGGACCCCUUGCCCCCAGUCUUCUCGGGCACUCCGAAGGGCAGUGGGGCCGGCUAUGGUGUUGGCUUUGACCUGGAGGAAUUCCUAAACCAGUCUUUCGACAUGGGCGUGGCUGACGGGCCACAGGAUGGCCAGGCAGACUCGGCCUCACUCUCGGCUUCCCUGCUUGCUGACUGGCUGGAGGGCCAUGGCAUGAACCCUGCCGACAUUGAGUCCCUGCAGCGUGAGAUCCAGAUGGACUCCCCAAUGCUGCUGGCUGACCUGCCUGACCUCCAGGAGCCCUGAGGCCCACGGCCUGUGCCUUGCUGCGGGGGGCAGACCCAGCUACCAGACUCACAGAAACGUCUCCAAGGGCUGGAGCCUUGGGCCCAGCAGCAGAAGCUUGGCUAGAUUAUUCUGCAGGUUCAUCUCAGACACACUCUGCAGCCUUAAGCAGCCACCUGAGCCACCACCAAGCCAUGGAAGGAUCAGGAAACCUCUACUCCUUGAGCGAUCCUUUUCAGGCUGUGCUAAGAAGUAAUCUAGAACAAGUGCCUAUAUACCAUAUGCCACAAUACCCACGACGCGUGACUCUACCUACAAUCGGUAAGUAAGAAAUUUUAGUUAUCGUCGUUAACGUCACGAUUGUGAUCUCAGGUGAACGGUGUGCCUUCCAUGUGAUUUUUCUCCUUGCCUGUGGAAGAGAUAGUCGCCUGCCUCUCCGUAUCCUCCAUCGUUCCCUCAGUCCUUUGUAAAGGCAGGGAGCUACUCCGUCUUCCUGCCGUUUGCCCUGUUGCCGGGCACGAUGGCUGGAGCUCCAGCCACCUCUUUGGCCAGUGAGGAUGAGGCCCCGUCAAGAGAUGGCAGAAGGUGGGUGUGUCUGGCUGGCUCAUUCGGUAGAGCAUCCAACUCUUGACCUUGGGGUUGUGAGUUUGAGCUCCACGUUGGGUGUAGAGAGCACUCAAAAAAGAAAAAAAAAAAAAAAAAGAAAAAAGA